rnacentral:tRNA from 1 species
GCCUUCGUGGUGUAACGGUUAGCACACUCGGCGCGUAUCCGAGAGGCCCAGGUUCGAAUCCCGGCGAAGGCA